rnacentral:lncRNA from 1 species
GUGACCGAAUACAAGAUAUUUAUAGGCCUCCUACAACCCUAGAAUGACACUAGAAAAGGAAUAAAAUCAUUUAGGAAAUAAUAGAUUACUUUCUAAACUAAAUAAGAAAUAAAAAAAAUCUUAAAUAACUAACAAGUAUAUGUCACAUAUAAUUGAGCUAGAAAAAAGAAAAUAAGUUAUUUAGGAAGUACCUAAACAAAAUAAAGCAAAUAAGAAAUUUCUUAAAUAAUAAAAAUAGAAGAUCUCGGCCCCCUUGCUCACUAGUUAACAUUUUUAAGUUGAAACCCUAAUUACUUAAGGAGGCCACACGCAUAAGCUUGCUCCUUAAGUCCUCAUUAGCACAACUUGCUUCUUUAAUGCCUUAUUAGCUUGAUUUGGAUAAUUAAGGCCCAAUUAGAUUUAAUCAAGCCCCUUGGUAUUGGAUCAAGCUAAUAAGUCUUGGACUUGAUUUUAGAGUUGACUCCUCAUGGAUUGUAGUGUCUUGAACCCAAAUAUUCUUGAUGAGCCCAACAACUGCUUCCUUCAUCUUCUUAGUCUUUGAUCUUGUAAUUAGUCCUUCUUGGAUUCUUAAAGGGUCUUAGCCUAUUGAUGUAUAUGGACUCUUGGCCUUGGUCACAUCACCUCUAUAGUAGAGAGGAAUGCUCUGAUAACCUCGACAACAGGUGUUCUUAUGCAUAGGCAAGAACCUUAGCAAAUUAAUAAUAAAUUGGUCUUGAGCAUCGGACCUCGGAUCAUGGACGGUGUCAUCGAAGGGUAUAGGGGAACCCGAGAAGUCGAUCCUUGUGAUGGCCAAGAAGGCAAGUGGAGACAAAGUUAGCUUUUCCAUCGGUGUGCGAAAGGUGUGGGUUGUAUCAAUCCAUCAUUUGAUCAGUGCAUAGACCGAGGUGUGAUUAGUCCUUCCAAUAGUAGCUACAAAUCAGUGGAACCCGAUGUCACCUAUUCGAGCAUGAAUAAAACUGGAAUCCUUAUUAAAACACUCUUGGGCUCCAUAAAAGCUGCCGACAAACCAGAUUGAUACAGUAUUAGUCUGAAAAAGCACAAAAGCAGGUUUGAGUGAACGUGCACAUGCAUUAAAUUUAAAAAUCGGGUAUGAACAUUAAAAAGUUCAAGUUUUUAAGCAAAUUCGUGUAUAUGAGCUGUUUCGGCUCCUGCACGGCUGAUUCAAGCUGUGUAGAGCCUAUCUGCUAUGCACACAGCCAAUUGGCUGUUCAUUUAGGGCAGUAUAAUUUUACACAAUUUUUCGAUGUUUUACAUGUUUUUUGAGUAUAUAAAAGACAGAUAAGUAAGAAUAGCAAGAAAAUAUACCUCAUUGACAAUCGAGAAAGCUCGAAGUGUGCUCAAUUUAGCCAAAAAGGGAAUUUCCUCCCCUUUCACCAACUCUAAGUCAUUUUGGCAAGAAAUUGGCGGUGAAAGUGCCAAUUUGGUAUGAUAAAGUGCAGCCUGCUGAUCUUGAAGAACUCGCUAUUUCAAGACAAAUUUGGGUGGAUUUGGUUGAGAAUUGAGAGAGAAAUCAAAAAGGAGAGUAGAGAGGGUUAAAAC